UCACGUAUGGGCAUGCGCGAGCCGGAGUAAACAGGAAGCAGAUUUGUCCUCUCUGCAGUUGAUUAAUUGCAAUAAAUACUCUGAACGAGGAACAGCAAAGAAAGCUGCUUUGUGAAAAUACAGAAAUGAACUCCUCAACAGCUGCUAGCAAAGACAACAAGCUCCGCCCAGGCCCACCCUGAUUACUUCAUGAGAUGCACCUGGCCUGGGAAGGAAGGCUUUAAAAAACUCUGGCCCCAGCAGAAGGGCAGAAGCUUCAGCUCCACCCAGGCCCACCCUGAUUACUUAAUGAGAUGCACCUGGCCUGGGAAGGAAGGCUUUAAAGAAAACUG